UCAUUUCUCACUCAACGGUCCAGAUUAUCUCAUCUCAAUCUAACGUCUCCCGCGUACCCAUCGCCUUCCCUCACCCAGCAGCGCCCCCGAAUCACGCGCACUUUCCUUCCUGUUCCGAUCGCGAAAUUCCUCCGCUCCCCUCCCCCGGCACCGCAUCGCGGGCCAUCGCUCCCCCACCUCUCGCUCCACCGUGCCUCCAACCCACGCCCCGCCCCCUCCACCUCUCGCUCCUCACGCCGCCUCCAUCGCUGUCCAAAAUCUAACGCUGCCAGUCCGCCGUCGCGCGCCACUCCGCCGCUCGUCGCCCUUCUCGCCGGUUUCACCGCCUCCGAUCUGAUUCUUUGAAACUCCACUGGCUCCUCGGCUUGCUUUCUUACAGGCAUCAAGUCAGGUAAGCAACUAAGCAUGAGCUUUCUUACAGGCAUCAAGUCAGGUAAGCAACUAAGCAUGAAUUUUCUCCAAACAUAUAACUCAGCAGAAUUGCUCCUUAUCAUAUGAAACUACUCCAUAAUAACAACGAAAUAUUUAGGCUCUGAAACUAGCCAAAACAAAAUUGUCAGGGUGGAUAGAUAAUCUUGGUCAGCCUUUUAUUGUAACUGAACCUCAUUGUGUCUUUUUAUACGCAAAUGUAUAUGCAGGCAUAUAUCAGGAUCCUUCCUAUUCUUUCGUGAUGAUUUGUUUUUUUAAAAAAAAUCUUAAGGUUCAUGAUUGGGUAGGGUUAGCCCCUUUUAGUUCAACAAGUUCAGAUUCUCAGCAAGGGCACAGUGUUUUUAGGAACAAACUCCUAAAUCUAGCACAAUAUGAUGUUUUCAAACAGCAGGAAACCAGUAAGUGCAGAAAAAGUAUAUGCAUCUCUGGACGAAACGGACUCUAUGAUGGUUUUAAACAUAUACCAUGUGAUGUUGCAAACCACUGAAAUCCCAGACUGACCUUGAACACUCAAGAAUGACAUCACCACCUCUUCCUCCAUUACCACCUGCAUAUUUCACAUAAGGAGGAUCUGUUCUGGCUCCAUUGUUUAAGAAUCAUGAAAAAGAAAAUCCUGACUGACUGCCGAAUUGGACCUAAUAGCAUGAAUUAAAGCCAUGACAGCAUCCCUCUAAAUCAGGUAACUAUUCUCUCCCUAAUCACUUUCCUACAAAAUACUUUACACCUCAUAGAUCGAUACUGUUUAUUUCAAUCUGUCAUGAUGUAUGCCUGCACUUAUCUCCACUCAGCCUACUGCAAUGGAUUACAUCGUUGAAACCUUCCCACCAAAUCUGUACUCAUGAAUGUAUCCAGGUGGUCACUGAUCUCCUCUCUUGUUAAUUCCUUGAAGUCCCUACUCCCUAUAUAAAUGUGCAGUUUUAAUUCAUGAAGUGUCUGAAAAUUAACUAUCUCGUUUUGUUAGUACAUUGAAUAAGCAUAAUUACAAAAGCUAUUUGUAUGAAAUUACCGAGGCGGAUGGAUACCUUUGUUAAGUAUAUUUCUAUGGAAUGUCUUGAUUUAUGAAUCUAUGUAGUGUGGACCUCUCCUCUGUAAGCUAUACUCAAGAAACCCAGUUUUACAGAUAUACUUGUUCAAUCUGCAUUUUAAGCCUUGAGUGAUCUCUUAAUUGACUUCAGUGACAUGUUUGUCAACACAGGGAUGAGCUAAAUAGGUUUGUCUCAGAUAAGCGAUCUCCAUCAGUUCUCAAAUUAGAUGGAUGGCAGCGGCAAUCUCAGUUUUCUUAAUAUGAGCUCUUCAAUCCUUUGAACUCUUUGGCUAUGAGAUCAUUCUUCCCUAACAAAAUCAGGAACACAACCUGCUACUACAAUUUUUUUUCAGUUUAAUUGAAUUACCAUUGCAAGUUCAUUGAGAUAUUAACUUCUUGCAGGUCAUAAACUGUCCUAAUGAAUGAACUCACUGAGAUCUACCCAACUAAGUAAUGAUUCAACCAAUCUGAUUAGUCUGAAGGAUAGUCUGUCUGAAGGAUAGUCUGGUUCGUCCUGCUCAAAUUUGAGAAGCUUGCACAUAUCCUCAACCCACUAAUGCAAUGAAGUUGUGUUUACCCUAGAGAGUUCUAAUAUCAGGUACUUUAUAUGCUGCUCAUUUUUCACGAAUUAUGUUAGGGGGAGUCUUGUUAAAAUUAUAUUCCUUUUGAGUUAAAUCCUUUAUCCAUCUUUUUUCUUGUUUUAUUAGGGGCCUAUGCAUGCUAUGCUUGAUUCUUGGUUCAAAAACAACAGAUGCAGUUGUUGCAUCUAUUGUCCGUUCUUAUGCAUGCUUGGAUUUGCUUGAUUCUAAAUGCUUCAAAUCAGAUGGCAGAGAUGUUUUCAGUCACUAAGUUCCUGAACGGUAUCUAAAUUUACUUUGCUUGAACUCCAGAUCUAGCAUUACUGGUAAUGGAUGCAGGAUAAUCUGCAAGGACUCUAAGCUGGCUUCUCCUUGCCCUGUGCCCAGAUUUCACCUCAUAACCUUGUUCUUUGUUGUAUUGAUUUAAAAAGAAUAAAGAAGACAAUAACACUUGCUCUUCUGACUUAUAGGUGGGGUUUAGGUGGCUACUUCAAAGUUGCCACUUCUUCAGCUCAUGGACUGUGGCAAGAGCUAUGUGCCAAUUCGCAGGCUGAACAGAGAUAUCAUACUUCGGCGAAAUUUCUGGAGGGAUUAAAUUUGGUUUUUACCUAUGUCGAUAAAGCAGCAGUGAGCAAGCUACAAGUGCUAGCUGUUAUUGUUUGUUUAAUCAUGAAAAAGAGGCUUUCUGAAACCAGAUCGAGCAAGCCAAAUGGGACUGCAUCAGCGAUAUGACGAAAACUUUCCCCGUUUUGACAUCAACUACCAUCAAUUGCAUAUUCUUUUGUAUGUAGAGAUUGCAUUUUAUUUUGGUUCAUAUCAGAUAUAAUAGUGCCAAAUCUGUCCUGUAUGAAACAUAUAUUUCAUUUUUGGUAACACAAAAGUUGGACUGAAUAUACGACUGGUUCUUUUUAGUACUCUGU